CUUCCAUCUGGAAGAAUACUGGAGACAGGUGCUGCAUGGCUGUCGUCAGCUCGUGUCGUGAGAUGUUGGGUUAAGUCCCGCAACGAGCGCAACCCUUGCCUUUAGUUGCCAGCAGUUCGGCUGGGCACUCUAAAGGGACUGCCGGUGUUAAACCGGAGGAAGGUGGGGAUGACGUCAAGUCCUCAUGGCCUUUAUGACCAGGGCUACACACGUACUACAAUGGCCGAUACAAAGGGCAGCGACACUGCGAGGUGAAGCCAAUCCCGUAAAAUCGGUCUCAGUCCGGAUUGGAGUCUGCAACUCGACUCCAUGAAGUUGGAAUCGCUAGUAAUCGUGGAUCAGCAUGCCACGGUGAAUACGUUCCCGGGCCUU
rnacentral:rRNA from 1 species